AGUGGCGGGAGAUUGCGGGAGAUGAGUCCGAGAGUUAGAGCAAAAGCUUCCCAAAUAUGGGAAUAUUUCAGGCCAACUGGUAAAAGAGUUGUCUGUACACUCUGUCAAACUUCACUUGGAAACACACAGGAGUUGUUCAAUACAUAUGGAGCGUUUUUCUCUUCUCCAUAUCACCUCCGGGGCUCCAGAGAUGCGCUCACAGAAAAGAAGAAGUCAACAAAGCAGUCCGCCGUCUUCACAACUCUGAGACAAACUGUAGCAGGCGCUACGAACCGGACCAAGGACUAACCUCGCCUCAUAACGAGGCCGUGACCUAUAUUUGCUCGGCGCUGUCUCGGCAAGUCCAGAUUGACAUGACGCUGAUAACUACGCCAUUGUGUCUGCCUGUAAGACAUACUACGAGACAGCACGCAGGAGCUUCAGCUAGAAACAACCAGAUGUGGCAUUGCGGGCAGAAGCUGUGAAGAGUUAAGCUCGGAGUUGGUCGAGAAGAAAAGAGGCUGCUGGAAGCGAGACAGAAUGUGCUGGCUGCGGGUGAGGUGGACAUUUGGAAGCGCGCCACCAUAGACAUACAGGACAACGCACCACAGACGUCUGCAAAAUGGACCGAAUUUAGACCGAAUGCUGCCGGUUACCAACAGCUCGGAGGCGGCCGCGGGUUAGGGGUUGACGGUGCUGCUUCUCGUGAUCGUGGGAUAUUUGUUAUGUGUGCUGUGUGUCUCCUAUG